GGCAUGUAAGCUAUUGGGGCGCAUGCAACCCUCCCGUGCGGUGCACCCCACCAAGCAGGGGCUGGGAUAAAAGCUUACCUCCUCUGAGCCCGGGGAGAAUACGGUGCGGGUCGAGACAGGGGGCGUUAGGACAGAAAGUGCUGUCCCACCCAACAAUCAAACGUGGAAAGAACAGCGUGCUCCUAUCGCCAGGAGAGGCUGAAGUAGUACAGAACUGCUGGCUGUGACUAAGGAGAGAGAGACGGUGUACAAAAUACCGCCUGUCACCACUGCCAGAAAAUACAGCACAAGCCUCCCACGAAAGACAUACGCCAGGGAAAAGCUGUUCUGGCCCAAAGCCAUCCUCUGAACACAUCGCUACUUCAAUCUAUGGGGAGGCUCGGCUCGGCUCGGCUCGGCUCUCCACAGCUAGACACGGAACCCAAACACCUUGUGAACUUUGGGCAAAUUCGGAUGAAGCUUCGGAGCUGGUUCUGACCUUUGAAACCAGGGGCCUCAUCUCGAACUAACUCACAGCCAAGUGACAAGCAUUUCUGCCUCGUGUUGUCUUACAAAGCUACAGCACUCCAGGCUCCCCCCGUGCAAAGCAAGUUCAGAACACUAAUAUCCAACUCUGUAAACAAUCCUACAUCACCGUGAUAAUUACAUUCCUGCAGUCCGCACGGACAGAUGUAAAGAUAGGAGCUGCCUUGAGUUUCUACUUGGAACAUUUGCUUAAACUGAGCUCCUCGACCUAUUCCUCUUGUCACUCCUUAAACCUAUUCCUCUUCCCUUCCUCCACCUGCACUUUAGCUUUUAGAAGCAACAUCAGCUCUCAGUUUACACCACUGGAUUCACUGGCAACAUCCGUGUUUGUGAUUAGUGGCUAUGUCCUGCUUGUAUCUUUACUACGUGCCCGAGGAGGCACUGCUCGUUUCUCUUCUUGUAUGUGUAUCUAUCCUAACUUUCCUGUGAAAGACCCGAAAAAUAUGCAAAGCUUGCACUGCUGCUGAGAAAGAGGACAAAGUUUAACUUCUCUGUUGGCAAUCACGAAAUAACUCCUAGCAGUUUUCUAGCGAAAGAUCUGAUUUGCUGAAUUUUGUCCUUUGAUUUCUGUUUGUAUGUUAUUGCUACUGCUAAGGUUGUUGCCAACCUCAAUUAGAUCACAAAUGAGAUCAGUUUAAUUCAUCUCCCAAACUGUGACCUGACCAUGGUCUGAAAGUAUUCAAAAAUGCAUUUUUAAGCCUUUCUUUGAUUUCUAAAGGAAUACUGCAUGCUUGGUCAUUCAUACAAAUAACAUAAAACGUAAUUAUGGGAUGAUUUGGCAGAUGACAUUGCUGCCAAACUACACUCCAUGCCAGAUACUGUAAUGCUGCUGCUGCUGCCCUGGGAUUUGAGUGCACAGUGCUCUUUUAUAAGGCUGGAGUUAGUGUGUGUGUGUGUGUUAUACUGAGGUGUUUUAAUGGAAUUUGGGAGGAAGGCUGCAAUAGCAAUGAGUGCACAUGCACAUCAAAACCCACACUUAAAAACUGCUGUAUCACCUAGACGGGAUGUGGAUCUGCACUAUCAAAUCACCAGAAGGCUGUGACAAAGGGAGCUUGCAGCUUGACACACGGGUAACAACAUAGCAAACACCUUUAAUUCUGUCAUGUCUCAUACCCUUUGCUUUCUCACACAUUUGUGGCUGCUCUAACAUUGACACCUACACUUUUUGAAAACUAAAUAAGGCAAUCUUAUUUAAACUAAAAAAGCAACACCUGAAAAAGUUAUUCUUAUGCCCAGCAAAAAAUAACCCAUUAUUAACUCCUUCCUGGCAUAACUGGGGUACCUUGGUAGGGCAAUUAAAUGGGGCUGCCUUACAAGGUGAAAGUGUAGUUUCAACUGGUUAUAUGCUUUGAAAACCUUGCAGGUUUCCUCAGAGAUGGAAUAUCAGACCUCGACUCUUACAGGUUUGCAAGUUUAUAGUGUCUUUUUUUAAAAGAAAAGACUAUUUUACUUUUCAAGACAGAUUCCUAAAUUCAUCUAAAUCACCCUAAAGAUUUAUUAUGAGUGCCUGCAAGUUUUCCAACUGUUUUUUUUAAGUUUAACAAACAUUUUUUUAUCCUCAAUAUGCGCUAAGGAUUUUUUUCAGGUUGAUUUGUUAUAACUCUGUCGCCAUUCAUAAAUCUGAUUGGAGCCACAGCUCAGCCCAAAUGAUUCAGUUAUAAAUGAGAAAACUAUGUUGUUGGUUGACUAGCUUCAAUGGUCUAAAAAAUGUCAGGCUUUUAUUCCUUUCUCUCUGUUAUGCAAACCGCUAUAUGAACAAUCAUAACUUGGAACUUCCAAAGAAAGUCCCCCUGGGAACACAAGUCUUAGCUGAUGAGUACAAGUGUAUAGCACACAAAGAGUUAAACAGUUUUCCAGCGUUACUGGGUAGGUUAAUAUCACAGCUGCCUGGUAAAGCAUUAUCCCAGCACCUCACUUAACAAAAGCCUCCUUUUGCAAACAGACUCCUACUUUCCCCCAAGUAUCCAAAGGUGUUUACUGAAGUAAAUCUGCCUAAAUCCUCCAUUGC